AAUCAACGCUGGCGGCGUGCCUCAGACAUGCAAGUCGAACGAUUAAGACUCUCUUCGGAGAGUGUAUAAAGUGGCGCACGGGUGAGUAACACGUAGGUAAUGUACCGAAGGGUGGGGAAUAACUUAAGGGAAACUUAAGCUAAUACCGCAUAAUGCAGCGGCUCGACAUCGAGACAGUUGUUAAAGGAGCAAUCCGCCUUUUGAGCAGCCUGCGGCAGAUUAGCUAGUUGGUAAGGUAAUGGCUUACCAAGGCUACGAUCUGUAACCGACCUGAGAGGGUGGUCGGUCACACUGACACUGAAUAACGGUCAGACUCCUACGGGAGGCAGCAGUCGGAAUUUUGGGCAAUGGGCGAAAGCCUGACCCAGCAACGCCGCGUGAAGGAUGAAGUAUUUCGGUAUGUAAACUUCUUUUAUUUGGGAAGAGACCCACGAUUCUAUUGUGGUUGACGGUACCAGAUGAAUAAGCACCGGCUAACUCCGUGCCAGCAGCCGCGGU
rnacentral:rRNA from 1 species